rnacentral:sRNA from 1 species
CGCUGUGGUCCGGAGUCAGUGGGUUAUCCUCACUUUGCGUUCCCUGAAAAGGGAAGUGCCCGCAAGGGCACAUCUCCCCAUUGGCGAUCACUUGACCACACU